UGGGGAAUAUUGCACAAUGGGCGCAAGCCUGAUGCAGCCAUGCCGCGUGUGUGAAGAAGGCCUUCGGGUUGUAAAGCACUUUCAGCGGGGAGGAAGGCGUUAAGGUUAAUAACCUUGGCGAUUGACGUUACCCGCAGAAGAAGCACCGGCUAACUCCGUGCCAGCAGCCGCGGUAAUACGGAGGGUGCAAGCGUUAAUCGGAAUUACUGGGCGUAAAGCGCACGCAGGCGGUCUGUCAAGUCGGAUGUGAAAUCCCCGGGCUCAACCUGGGAACUGCAUUCGAAACUGGCAGGCUAGAGUCUUGUAGAGGGGGGUAGAAUUCCAGGUGUAGCGGUGAAAUGCAUAGAGAUCUGGAGGAAUACCGGUGGCGAAGGCGGCCCCCUGGACAAAGACUGACGCUCAGGUGCGAAAGCGUGGGGAGCAAACAGG
rnacentral:rRNA from 1 species